rnacentral:rRNA from 1 species
GAAUAUUGCGCAAUGGGGGAAACCCUGACGCAGCGACGCCGCGUGAGCGAAGAAGGCCUUAGGGUUGUAAAGCUCUGUUUUAAGGGACGAAUGUUCAUGGGAGUAAUAUGCCUAUGAAAUGACGGUACCUUAAGAGGAAGCCCCGGCUAACUACGUGCCAGCAGCCGCGGUAAGACGCAGGGGGCGAGCGUUGUCCGGAAUUACUGGGCGUAAAGAGCACGUAGGCGGGAACUUAAGUCAGGUGUGAAAGACCGGGGCUCAACCUCGGGUAUGCACUUGAAACUGGGUUUCUUGAGGGCAGGAGAGGAAAGCAGAAUUCCUGGUGUAGCGGUGAAAUGCGUAGAAAUCAGGAGGAAUACCAGUGGCGAAGGCGGCUUUCUGGACUGACCCUGACGCUGAGGUGCGAAAGCGUGGGUAGCAAACAG